rnacentral:rRNA from 1 species
UGCAAGUCGAACGGGGGUAGCAAUACCCUAGUGGCGAACGGGUGAGUAACACAUAAGCAAGUCUGCCCUUCACAGGGGGAUAACAGCGGGAAACUGCUGCUAAUACCGCAUAAGACCACGGUACCGCAUGGUACAGGGGUAAAAACGAAUCAGUGGUGAAGGAUGAGCUUAUGUCCCAUUAGCUAGUUGGUGAGAUAACAGCCCACCAAGGCGACGAUGGGUAGCCGACCUGAGAGGGUGAUCGGCCACACUGGAACUGAGACACGGUCCAGACUCCUACGGGAGGCAGCAGUGGGGAAUAUUGGGCAAUGGAGGAAACUUCCUUACCCAGCAAUGCCGCGUGAGUGAAGAAGGUCUUCGGAUUGUAAAGCUCUUUGAUUGGGGACGAAGAAAGUGACGGUACCCAAAGAACAAGCCCCGGCUAACUACGUGCCAGCAGCUGC